GGUGAGAUGGCCGAGUGGUCUAAGGCGCUAGAUUUAGGUACCUACUUAUCUCUAGUCAUUCGUGGCGUGGGUUCAAAUCCCACUCUCAUCA
rfam:Gymnopus luxurians FD-317 M1 unplaced genomic scaffold GYMLTscaffold_16, whole genome shotgun sequence.